CCCAGUAACUGCGAGUGAAGAGGGAAGAGCUCAUCAUUGGAAUCUGACAGCGUUACGCUGUCCGAGUUGUAGAUGAGGAGUAGUCCAUCUGGACUGCAUGGCGUCCAAGUACAAUAGGCCGUCAGUGGGACAUCAUAGAGGGUGACAAUCCCGUCCUUGAUGCCAAUGUGCAAGUCCGUUACGAUGGCUAUCUCAGAGAGUCGAGCAGUUUGGGAUUUGCUGCUUAAACAUGGGAGGUAGAUUCCUUCUAAAGCUAAAUACAGGCGAGAGACCGAUAGAGAACAAGUACCGCAAGGGAAAGAUGAAAUAGAACUCUGUGAAGGGAGUCAAAAGGCGUGAAAUUGUUGCGAGAGAAGCGAUUCAAGUCAGCGUAGCUAGGCCCAUCAAGCCUCUUUGUGCUUUGGACUAGCUUUGCCAGCGGUCUUGUCCCUUAGAGACUUGACUUUUUUUAUGAUGUCCAGCCUGGUAUGCACAGGUAGCCCUCCUCUUGGGGGGCCAGUGACAUGGCUGGUGGAAUGGCUUGCAAUCGACCCGUCUUGAAACACGGACCAAGGAGUCUAACAUGUAUGCGAGUAUAAGGGUGGCAAACCCGUAUGCGCAAUGAAAGUAACUUUCGAUGAUUGAGAAUGGCCUGAUGACCAGACAAGCAAUAUAUUCAUGUCCCUCGUACGGCCAUUGCCCAAGUUCCGUGGUAGAUCCCAUGAACAUGGAGUUGGAGCAUACAUGCUAGGACCCGAAAGAUGGUGAACUAUGCCUGGACAAAGCGAAGCCAAAGGAAACUCUGGUGGAGGCUUGUAGCGAUUCUGACGUGCAAAUCGAUCGUCUGAUCUGGGUAUAGGGGCGAAAGACUAAUCGAACCAUCUCAUAGCUGGUUCCUGCCGAAGUUUCCCUCAGGAUAGCAGAGACCUAGUGGAAGUUGCAUGUGGUAAAGCGAAUGAUUAUUGAUCCUGGGGCUCAAAUGGGCCUCAGUCUAUUCUCAAACUGUGAAUGCGUGCGGUUGGACUGUGCUUAGCAAU
rnacentral:rRNA from 1 species